rnacentral:lncRNA from 1 species
CCAUAAAUCAAUCCACAUCUCUCUCAAAUCCAGAGCUCCCAAUUCAAACCAUAAAGUGGCCGGCUGAAAUCGUGAGUUCUUCGGUGACCGAGCGGAGUUUAUAAAUGCGACCAGAUUAAUUUCAUAUUCUAAUCAUCUAAAGAUAGAAGAGCUCCUUCCUUUUGAAGAUAGAAGAGCUCCUUACUUAUUUUAUCACCAUCAUCUCAUCUCAUCUCAUUUUCUUCAUUACAUUUCAGAUUCUAAAACUCAACAACUCGAUUUUCUGCAUCAGAUUCUGAUCAAAUUGUGAAGUCUUCAUGGCGAUGAAAUCAACAGGACAACGCCAUCGUUUCGAUCAUCUGCUUCCAGAUUGAGUUGGUGUUUAUUGUUGAUAUCCGGACUGAUAAGAAGAAGAUUAAAGCUGCUGUUAAGAAGAUGUAUGAUAUUCAAACUAAGAAGGUUAAUACUUUGAUCAGGUCGGACUAAUGGCAUUGACUUAGUAAUGGUGCUGAUUGGUGAGUGGCCAAAAUGGCAGUAAAAAAGAAGGGAGGGUCUUUUCUUGAAGCUCCGGUCUCAGGUAGCAAAAAACCAGCUGAAGCUGAAGACGGACAAUUAGUAAUCCUUUCUGCUGGGGACAAAGGGCUGUAUGAUGCAAUUCUUUCUGCGUUUGACGUUUUGGGGAAGAAGUAUUUUUUCUUGGGAGAGGUUGGAAAUGGAGCGAAUAUGAAACUUAUAAUUUUUAUUGAUUAUGUUUAUGAGUUUGAUAUGUGUAA